GGGUCAGUAGGUUGGUCGUGCCACCGGUACGUACUGGUCUCACUGAUUCCUCCUUCCUGAAGAACCGUAAUGCCAUUAAUUUGGUGUUGCGGGGAAACAGGACUGUUACUUUGAAAAAAUUAGAGUGUUUAAAGCAAACUAACGCUUGAAUACAUUAGCAUGGAAUAAUGAAAUAGGACGAUCGAUCCUAUUUUGUUGGUUUCUAGGAUUGACGUA
rnacentral:rRNA from 1 species